UAGUCAUAUGCUUGUCUCAAAGAUUAAGCCAUGCAUGUCCAAGUAUAAACGUUAUACGGUGAAACUGCAGAUGGCUCAUUACAUCAGUUAUAAUUCAUUUGAUGAUCGAGUAACUACAUGGAUACCCGUAGUAAUUCUAGAGCUAAUACAUGCCAAAAAGGCCUGACCGUAUGGAAGGGUCGUAUUUAUUAGAUAAAAAACCAAUCUCGCAAGAGUUUUGUGGUGAUUCAUAAUAACUGUUCGAAUCGCAUACCGCAAGGUGGCGAUAGAUCAUUCAAAUUUCUGCCCUAUCAGCUCUCGACGGUAGUGUAGUGGACUACCGUGGCAUUAACGGGUAACGGAGAAUUAGGGUUCGAUUCCGGAGAGGGAGCCUGAGAAACGGCUACCACAUCCAAGGAAGGCAGCAGGCGCGCAAAUUACCCAAUCCUGAUACAGGGAGGUAGUGACAAAAAAUAACAAUACCGGGCGUUUUACGUCUGGUAAUUGGAAUGAGUACAAUUUAAAUCCCUUGACGAGGAACAAUU
rnacentral:rRNA from 1 species